GACGAACGCUGGCGGCGUGCCUAAUACAUGCAAGUCGAACGCAGUGGGGACGGGUGAGUAACACGUGGGUAACCUCCCAUCAGAGGGGAUAACACUUGGAAACAGGUGCUAAACCGAUACUGAUGGAUGGACCCGCGGUGCAUUAGCUAGUUGGUGAGGUAACGGCUCACCAAGGCCACGAUGCAUAGUCGCCCUGAGAGGGUGAUCGGCCACCCUGGGACUGAGACACGGCCCAGACGCCUACGGGAGGCAGCAGUAGGGAAUCUUCGGCAAUGGGCGAAAGUCUGACCGAGAAACGCCGCUUGAUUGAAGAAGUUUUUCGGAUCGUAAAACUCUGUUGUUAGAGAAGCGGUAUCUAACCAGAAGGCCCGGGAUAACUACGUACCAGCCACCGCGGUAAUAC
rnacentral:rRNA from 1 species